rnacentral:rRNA from 1 species
AUUGAACGCUGGCGGCAUGCCUUACACAUGCAAGUCGAACGGUAACGGGCCUUCGGGUGCCGACGAGUGGCGAACGGGAGAGUAAUACAUCGGAACGUGCCCGAUCGUGGGGGAUAACGAGGCGAAAGCUUUGCUAAUACCGCAUACGAUCUACGGAUGAAAGCAGGGGAACGCAAGGCCUUGCGCGGACGGAGCGGCCGAUGGCAGAUUAGGUAGUUGGUGGGAUAAAAGCUUACCAAGCCGACGAUCUGUAGCUGGUCUGAGAGGAUGAUCAGCCACACUGGGACUGAGACACGGCCCAGACUCCUACGGGAGGCAGCAGUGGGGAAUUUUGGACAAUGGGCGCAAGCCUGAUCCAGCCAUGCCGCGUGCAGGAUGAAGGCCUUCGGGUUGUAAACUGCUUUUGUACGGAACGAAAAGCCUUCUUUUAAUACAGGAGGGUCAUGACGGUACCGUAAGAAUAAGCACCGGCUAACUACGUG